rnacentral:rRNA from 1 species
UACGUAGGGGGCAAGCGUUGUCCGGAUUUAUUGGGCGUAAAGAGCGUGUAGGCGGCCUGGUAGGUCAGCUGUGAAAACUCGAGGCUCAACCUCGAGACGUCGGCGGAAACCAUCUGGCUAGAGUCCGGAAGAGGAGAGUGGAAUUCCUGGUGUAGCGGUGAAAUGCGCAGAUAUCAGGAAGAACACCCGUGGCGAAGGCGGCUCUCUGGGACGGUACUGACGCUGAGACGCGAAAGCGUGGGGAGCGAACAGG